CCUACGGGUGGCAGCAGUAGGGAAUAUUGCGCAAUGGGGGAAACCCUGAAGCAGCAACGCCGCGUGGAGGAUGACGGCUCUCUGAGUUGUAAACUGCUUUUAUACGAGGGUAAACGCAGAUACGCGUGUCUAUCUGAAAGUGUCGUACGAAUAAGGAUCGGCUAACUCCGUGCCAGCAGCCGCGGUAAUACGGAGGAUUCAAGCGUUAUCCGGAUUUAUGGGGUUUAAAGGGUGCGUAGGGGGUCGGAUAAGUCAGAGGUGAAAUCCCGAGGCUCAACUUCGGAAUUGCCUCUGAUACUGUUCGGCUAGAGAGUAGUGGCGGUAGGCGGAAUGUAUGGUGUAGCGGUGAAAUGCUUAGAGAUUAGACAGAACACCGAUUGCGAAGGCAGCUUACCAAGCUACUUCUGACGUUGAGGCACGAAAGCGUGGGGAGCAAACAGGAUUAGAUACCCUUGUAGUC
rnacentral:rRNA from 1 species